GCCCGAAUAGCUCAGCUGGCCAGAGCAGCUGUCUUGUAAACAGCAGGUCGUGGGUUCGAAUCCCACUUCGGGCU
rnacentral:tRNA from 1 species